ACAAAAGGGUUGAAAGACUAAAAUGAAGAUAAAAACUUUAGAUAUGUGCAUCCAAAAUCCUGAGGAGGCUAGAAGCAUUCCAAAGCAAGACAGAGUGAACAGUGAGAGGUGAGAAGAAUGCACUUAAAGAAAUGUUUUUGUGAUUGUUUGUCUUAUUUUAGGCUUUACAACGAAUGUAAAAGACAAGUCUCAGGAAAAGAUGUAAUUUUAUGGAAGAAAAAAGAUAGAAAAUAACAUUACCCAAAUGAAAACAGAUGAAGAUAAAGAUCAUUUCUUGAACAAUAUCUUCACAUCAUGGCUGGGCAAAGUGGAAAGAGACAGAAAACUGAAAAGUGACAACUUAAAAACUUUCUUUAAACAUAUCACUCUGACACCAAUGUGUAAGAUGAAGUGGACAGGAAUGGAACUGUACUGGGAGGCUCUGACAGUUCGGGUGAGAAGAAAUGAAGGGUCCUGUAAGCAGAUGAGCAGAUGAACAGAAGAGCAGAAGAGCAGCACAGCCGAGAAGGAAUGAAUGGCACAGCAGAGAAGGAGAGAAGAGAAGGAGCAUCUGAACGUUGAGAGUUCAACUAGAAAUGGUCAGAGAGGAGACUGAUCAUGGGAUAGCCAAACUCCAGGAGAAGAUUAUGUUCCCACUCCAUCCCCUUUCCAGAUCCCCAAUCCAUCCCUCUGAGAGCCACCUCUACCACUCGAUAAAACCCCUGCAUUUACCAUCCUUUGAGUCUGUGUGUGACCUGAUUCUUUCUGGACACCGGACAAGGACCUGGGUAGAA
rnacentral:lncRNA from 1 species